GGGUCAAACUCUGGAGAGCGGCUGCGGCACCACGCCAGCAGCCCACCGAAGGGGCGUGCGGAUGAUCAUCCGCUAUCUCUCAGGUACCAAGGACAGAGGGGUUCGU
rnacentral:ncRNA from 2 species